AGGACGAACGCUGGCGGCGUGCUUAACACAUGCAAGUCGAGCGGUAAGGCUCCUUCGGGAGUACACGAGCGGCGAACGGGUGAGUAACACGUGAGCAAUCUGCCCUUCACACUGGGAUAACCCCGGGAAACCGGGGCUAAUACCGGAUGCGACCACCGACGGCAUCGUCUGGUGGUGGAAAGUUCCGGCGGUGGAGGAUGAGCUCGCGGCCUAUCAGCUUGUUGGUGGGGUAAUGGCCUACCAAGGCUUCGACGGGUAGCCGGCCUGAGAGGGCGACCGGCCACGACUGGGACUGAGACACGGCCCAGACUCCUACGGGAGGCAGCAGUGGGGAAUAUUGCGCAAUGGGCGAAAGCCUGACGCAGCGACGCCGCGUGAGGGACGAAGGCCUUCGGGUUGUAAACCUCUUUCAGCAGGGACGAAGCGAGAGUGACGGUACCUGCAGAGAAGCACCGGCCAACUACGUGCCAGCAGCCGC
rnacentral:rRNA from 1 species